rnacentral:rRNA from 1 species
UACGUAGGGUCCGAGCGUUGUCCGGAAUUAUUGGGCGUAAAGGGCUCGUAGGCGGUUUGUCGCGUCGGGAGUGAAAACUCAGGGCUCAACCCUGAGCGUGCUUCCGAUACGGGCAGACUAGAGGUAUGCAGGGGAGAACGGAAUCCUGGUGUAGCGGUGGAAUGCGCAGAUAUCAGGAGGAACACCGGUGGCGAAGGCGGUUCUCUGGGCAUUACCUGACGCUGAGGAGCGAAAGCAUGGGGAGCGAACAGG